AUUUAAAUAGUUUAAUAAAAAUAUUAAUUUGUGGAAUUAAAGAUGUAGGUUUUACUUUAGAUA
rnacentral:tRNA from 1 species